rnacentral:rRNA from 1 species
UAGGGAAUCUUGCGCAAUGGGCGAAAGCCUGACGCAGCGACGCCGCGUGAGGGAUGACGGCCUUCGGGUUGUAAACCUCUUUCAGCAGGGACGAAGCCUCACGGUGACGGUACCUGCAGAAGAAGCCCCGGCCAACUACGUGCCAGCAGCCGCGGUAAUACGUAGGGGGCAAGCGUUGUCCGGAUUUAUUGGGCGUAAAGAGCUCGUAGGCGGCCGUCCACGUCGGGUGUGAAAGCUCGGGGCUCAACCCUGAGAGGCCAUUCGAUACGGGACGGCUAGAGGCAGGUAGGGGAGAUUGGAAUUCCUGGUGUAGCGGUGAAAUGCGCAGAUAUCAGGAGGAACACCGGUGGCGAAGGCGGAUCUCUGGGCCUUGCCUGACGCUGAGGAGCGAAAGCUGGGGGAGCGAACAG